rnacentral:rRNA from 1 species
GGCUCAACCUGCGACCGCACUCCACACUCACGAGCUAGAAUAUGGUAGAGGGGGCAGGAAUAUCCUGAGGAGCGGCAAAAAUGCGUAGAUAUAGGAAGGAACACCAGUGUCGAAGGCGACCACCUGGACUGAUACUGACACUGAGGUGCGAAAGCGUGGGGAGCACACAGGAUGAGAUAGCCUGGUAGUCCACGCCGUAAACGAUGUCAUCUACACGUUGGCAGCCCUCAGCUAAUAGUGGCGCAGCUAACGCAUUAAGUUGACCGCCUGGGGAGUACGGCCGCAAGGUUAAAACUCAAAGGAAUUGACGGGGGACCGCACAAGCGGUGGAGCAUGUGGUUUAAUUCGAAGCAACGCGAAGAACCUUGCCAGGCCUUGACAUCCAAGGAACCUUCCACAGAAUGAUCGGGGGCUUUGGGAACCGUGAAACAGGUGCCGCCAAGCUGUUGGCAGAAUGUGCCUUCUGACCAUGGGAUAAGUCUUGUAACGAGGGCAAC